AGUGAAACUGCGAAUGGCUCAUUAAAACAGUUAUAGUUUAUUUGAUAAUUAAAUUCUACAUGGAUAACCGUAGUAAUUCUAGAGCUAAUACAUGCUGCAAGACCUGACUUUUGGAAAGGUUGUAUUUAUUAGAUCUCAAACCAAUAUUCCUUCGGGUUUAUUGUGAUGAUUCAUAAUAACUGAUCGGAUCGAGGCUAGCCCUCGAUAAAUCAUUCAAGUUUCUGCCCUAUCAGUUUUCGUUGGUAGUGUAUUGGACUACCAAGACAGUCACGGGUAACGGGGAAUUAGGGUUCGAUUCCGGAGAGGGAGCCUGAGAAACGGCUACCACAUCUAAGGAUGGCAGCAGGCGCGUAAAUUACCCAAUCCUGAUUCAGGGAGGUAGUGACAAGAAAUAACAACUCGGGGG
rnacentral:rRNA from 1 species